ACCCGCACAAGCAGCGGAGCAUGUGGUUAAUUCGAAGCAACGCGAAGAACCUUACCAGGGUUUGACAUGCAAGUGGUAGGAAUCCGAAAGGUGACCGACCCUUCGGGGAGCUUGCACAGGUGCUGCAUGGCUGUCGUCAGCUCGUGUCGUGAGAUGUUCGGUUAAGUCCGCUAACGAGCGCAACCCUCGUCGUGUGUUAUACGUGUCACACGAUACUGCCGGUAUCAAGCCGGAGGAAGGUGGGGAUGAUGUCAAGUCAGCAUGGCCUUUAUAUCCUGGGCUACACACACGCUACAAUGGCAGAUACAAUAGGUUGCGAAACCGCGAGAUGGAGCCAAUCCUCAAAGUCUGUCUCAGUUCAGAUUGUAGGCUGCAACUCGCCUGCAUGAAGUUGGAGUUGCUAGUAAACGCAGGUCAGCUAUACUGCGUUGAAUACGUUCCCGGGGUUU
rnacentral:rRNA from 1 species